GAAAAACGUGUGGGAAGGGAGUUGCGGAGCCAGUUAGGGACAGCUGUUUAGGGGAGGCACCUAUCUGAGUCUCUAACUUGCCGUGUGAUAACGGGGAGUCACCACCCCUCCCUGGGCUUCUGUGUGUGUGUGUGUGUGUAUGUGUGUGUGU